rnacentral:rRNA from 1 species
AUUGAACGCUGGCGGCAUGCCUUACACAUGCAAGUCGAACGGUAACGGGCCUUCGGGUGCCGACGAGUGGCGAACGGGUGAGUAAUGUAUCGGAACGUACCUUUCAGUGGGGGAUAACGUAGCGAAAGUUACGCUAAUACCGCAUAUUCUGUGCGCAGGAAAGCAGGGGAUCGCAAGACCUUGCGCUGAUUGAGCGGCCGAUAUCAGAUUAGCUAGUUGGUGAGGUAAAGGCUCACCAAGGCGACGAUCUGUAGCGGGUCUGAGAGGAUGAUCCGCCACACUGGGACUGAGACACGGUCCAGACUCCUACGGGAGGCAGCAGUGGGGAAUUUUGGACAAUGGGGGCAACCCUGAUCCAGCCAUGCCGCGGGAGUGAAGAAGGCCUUCGGGUUGUAAAGCUCUUUCGGCCGGGAAGAAAUCGCAUGGGCUAAUACCCUGUGCGGAUGACGGUACCGGCAUAAGAAGCACCGGCUAACUACGUGCCAGCAGCCGCGGUAACAC